UUAGGUUAAGUUAUUAAGGGCGUAUGGUGGAUGCCUUGGCACUAGGAGCCGAUGAAGGACGUGACUAACUGCGAUAUGCUUCGGGGAGUUGUAAGUAAACUAUGAUCCGGAGAUUUCCGAAUGGGGAAACCUAACAGGUUUUACCGCCUGUUAUCACUAAGUGAAUUCAUAGCUUAGUUGAAGGUAGACGUGGGGAACUGAAACAUCUAAGUACCCACAGGAAGAGAAAGAAAUUCGAUUCCCUCAGUAGCGGCGAGCGAACCGGGAAGAGCCCAAACUAAGAAGCUUGCUUCUUAGGGUUGUAGGACUGAACAUCUGAGUUACCAAGAAAUGAAGUAGUUGAAUAAUCUGGGAAGAUUAGCCAAAGAGAGUGAUAGCCUCGUAAACGAAACUUCGUUUCCUCAGUUCAGGAUCCUGAGUACGGCGGAACACGUGAAACUCCGUCGGAAUCCGGGAGGACCAUCUCCCAAGGCUAAAUACUACCUAGUGACCGAUAGUGAACCAGUACCGUGAGGGAAAGGUGAAAAGCACCCCGGGAGGGGAGUGAAAUAGUUCCUGAAACCAUAUGCCUACAAGUAGUCAGAGCUCGUUAAUGAGUGAUGGCGUGCCUUUUGUAGAAUGAACCGGCGAGUUACGUUAGCGUGCGAGGUUAAGGAGGAAAGUCCGGAGCCGUAGCGAAAGCGAGUCUGAAUAGGGCGAGAUAGUACGUUGACGUAGACCCGAAACCAGGUGACCUACCCAUGUCCAGGUUGAAGGUGCGGUAAAACGCACUGGAGGACCGAACCCGUGUAUGUUGAAAAAUGCUGGGAUGAGGUGUGGGUAGAGGUGAAAUUCCAAACGAACUUGGAGAUAGCUGGUUCUCUCCGAAAUAGCUUUAGGGCUAGCCUCGGAGUUAAGAAUCGUGGAGGUAGAGCACUGUUUGGACUAGGGGCCCGUCUUGGGUUACUGAAUUCAGAUAAACUCCGAAUGCCACAGAUUUAUAUCCGGGAGUCAGACUGCGAGUGAUAAGAUCCGUAGUCGAAAGGGAAACAGCCCAGACCACCGAUUAAGGUCCCAAAAUAUGUGUUAAGUGGAAAAGGAUGUGGAAUUGCAUAGACAACUAGGAUGUUGGCUUAGAAGCAGCCACCAUUUAAAGAGUGCGUAAUAGCUCACUAGUCGAGUGAUCCUGCGCCGAAAAUGUAACGGGGCUAAACACAUUACCGAAAUCGUGGAUGUACCUUAGGGUACAUGGUAGGAGAGCGUUCUAAGGACGG
rnacentral:rRNA from 2 species